rnacentral:rRNA from 1 species
GGAUUAGAUACCCGGGUAGUCCACGCCGUAAACGAUGAGUACUAGGUGUUGGCCCUAAGGGUCGGUGCCGCAGUUAACACAUUAAGUACUCCGCCUGGGAAGUACGCUCGCAAGAGUGAAACUCAAAGGAAUUGACGGGGACCCUCACAAGUAGCGGAGCAUGUGGUUUAAUUCGAAGCAACGCGAAGAACCUUACCUAAGCUUGACAUCCCUCUGAAAGCCCCUUAAUCGGGGCCCCUCUUCGGAGCAGAGGUGACAGGUGGUGCAUGGUUGUCGUCAGCUCGUGUCGUGAGAUGUUGGGUUAAGUCCCGCAACGAGCGCAACCCUUGUCUUUAGUUGCCAGCAGUUCGGCUGGGCACUCUAGAGAGACUGCCGAGGAUAACUCGGAGGAAGG